rnacentral:rRNA from 1 species
UACGGAGGGUGCAAGCGUUGUCCGGAUUUAUUGGGUUUAAAGGGUGCGUAGGCUGCCCGUUAAGUCAGUGGUGAAAGCCUCCAGCUCAACUGGAGAACUGCCAUUGAUACUGGCGGGCUUGAGUACAGACGAGGUUGGCGGAAUUGAUUGUGUAGCGGUGAAAUGCAUAGAUACAAUCAAGAACACCGAUUGCGUAGGCAGCUAACUAGGCUGUAACUGACGCUGAGGCACGAAAGCGUGGGGAGCGAACAGG